CUUAGGUUUAAAAGGAUUCUAAAGUGCAAGAAAUACAAAUCUGUAUUCCUUACACUAUAGUUCCCUCUGGUUCCCCACUCCCUUGCAUCCCCCCUACCAGCAUUGUAAGGGUUACACUUGUGGAAAAUACAAUUCCAGCGCCCAUCUCCCUCCGAUGUCACUUGACAAGGGGGAGCUAAUGCGCAUGCACAGUGAGCGCCGUGAGAGAAUUAAGUCUCCCCAUAGGAAAGCAUUGCUUCAACAAUUUCCUUUGGGGAGCAAGCAGGAAGUGCCUCUAGUGGCUGAUUGACAGCCACUAGAGGCAGUCUUAGUCCUACAAUGUAAUCAUUGCAGUUUCUCUAAAACUGCAAUGAUUUACAUUGCAGGAAUAAGGG